rnacentral:rRNA from 1 species
UAUGUUACACAUGCAAGUCGAACGGAACUUCGGGUUAGUGGCGGACGGGUGAGUACGCGUGAGAAUCUGCUCUAGGUCGGGACAACAAUUGGAAACGAUUGUAAAUACCCGAUGUGCAGCAUGUGAAGAUUAUUGCUAGAGAUGAGCUCGGUUGAUAGUAGUAGUGUGGUAUGGGCACCUAGAGCGACGAUCAGUAACUGGUCUGAGAGGAUGCCAGUCACCCUGGGGAACUUGAGAACCGGGCCCAGACUCCUACGGGAGGCAGCAGUGGGGAAUUUUCCCGCAAAUGGGCGAAAGCCUGACGGAGCAAUACCGCGUGAGGGACGAAGGCUUUUGGGUCGUAAACCCCUUUUCCCUGAGAAGAAGAUCUGACGGUAUCAGGGGAAUCAGCAUCGGCUAACUUCGUGCCAGCAGCCGCGGUAAUACGAGGGAUGCAAG